AAUGCAGCGACCGUGUGGUCCACACACAUUUGACGAAAUAUGCCAGACUUGCUGUUGAGUGUCAUUGGUUGCAACGGCAACAGUGCAGCUAUCAAUCACUUCGGGUUACAGACAAGACAAAGGUUGACCCAGUGAAGCCUUGUGGGCAGUCACACACAAAACCAUCCGACAGGGCGUGGCAGCGGCCACCAUUUCUGCAUGGAUUGCUGGAACAAUGGUUCCUCUGGACCUCGCAUUGUCGACCCACAAACCCUGGCUGGCAAACACACUGGUAGCCUCUCGCCGUGUUCUGGUACGAAGACAAGAAGUGAGAUUCUCAGCAAGUCAAUCAACAGUUCCAAUGGCAAGCAAACAUUUAGAAACUGUGUUUUAAACAGUACAUUUUCUUGCUGAAAUGUAAGCAAGAGAGUAAUUAACAAACAUUUGUUUCUGUUUCCCAGAGAUCUUGAUGUUAAAAUCUUAACUUCGUCAUGGCUAGUAAUGUUAAAUGGUAAACAAAUGCAAUGAAUGAUAGCUUCAGUUUAAAUUAGCCUUAAAUAUUUACAGGUGAUAUCAAGAUAUACCAAGGUAAAGCGCUACAAUUUCAAGUCCACUAAACUCUUGUACCACAGCACUUCUAUGCUCUAACGUUGUGUCAAUAAAAUGCCAGAUAGAGUUC